rnacentral:rRNA from 1 species
CUACGGGUUGCUGCAGUGGGGAAUCUUGGACAAUGGGCGCAAGCCUGAUCCAGCCAUGCCGCGUGAGUGAAGAAGGCCUUAGGGUCGUAAAGCUCUUUCGCCAGAGAUGAUAAUGACAGUAUCUGGUAAAGAAACCCCGGCUAACUCCGUGCCAGCAGCCGCGGUAAUACGGAGGGGGUUAGCGUUGUUCGGAAUUACUGGGCGUAAAGCGCGCGUAGGCGGAUUAGUCAGUCAGGGGUGAAAUCCCAGGGCUCAACCCUGGAACUGCCUUUGAUACUGCUAGUCUUGAGUUCGAGAGAGGUGAGUGGAAUUCCGAGUGUAGAGGUGAAAUUCGUAGAUAUUCGGAGGAACACCAGUGGCGAAGGCGGCUCACUGGCUCGAUACUGACGCUGAGGUGCGAAAGUGUGGGGAGCAAACAGGAUUAGAUACCCUUGUAGUC